rnacentral:tRNA from 1 species
GUUAUUGUAGCUUAACUACAUAAAGCACGGCACUGAAAAUGCCGCAAUGGGACUGAAAAAAUCCCCAAAAACA